rnacentral:rRNA from 1 species
UACAGAGGGUGCAAGCGUUGUUCGGAAUUAUUGGGCGUAAAGAGCUCGUAGGCGGUUUGUCGCGUCUGCUGUGAAAACUGGAGGCUCAACCUCCAGCCUGCAGUGGGUACGGGCAGACUAGAGUGCGGUAGGGGAGAUUGGAAUUCCUGGUGUAGCGGUGAAAUGCGCAGAUAUCAGGAGGAACACCAACGAGCGAAGGCAGAUCUCUGGGACGUAACUGACGCUGAGACGCGAAGCGUGGGGAGCAAACAGG